rnacentral:rRNA from 1 species
GACAGAGGGGGCAAGCGUUGCUCGGAAUUACUGGGCGUAAAGGGCGCGUAGGCGGGAUGGUAAGUCGGUCGUGAAAUCCCUCGGCUCAACCGAGGAACGUCGAUCGAUACUACCGUUCUUGAGGAUUGCAGAGGAGACUGGAAUUCCCGGUGUAGCGGUGAAAUGUGUAGAGAUCGGGAGGAACACCGGUGGCGAAGGCGGGUCUCUAGGCAAUUCCUGACGCUGAGGCGCGAAAGCGUGGGGAGCAAACGGG